GAUGAACGCUGGCGGCGUGCCUAAUACAUGCAAGUCGAGCGAACAGAUGAGGAGCUUGCUCCUCUGACGUUAGCGGCGGACGGGUGAGUAACACGUGGAUAACCUACCUAUACGACUGGGAUAACUUCGGGAAACCGGAGCUAAUACCGGAUAAUAUAUUGAACCGCAUGGUUCAAUAGUGAAAGACGGUUUUGCUGUCACUUAUAGAUGGAUCCGCGCCGCAUUAGCUAGUUGGUAAGGUAACGGCUUACCAAGGCAACGAUGCGUAGCCGACCUGAGAGGGUGAUCGGCCACACUGGAACUGAGACACGGUCCAGACUCCUACGGGAGGCAGCAGUAGGGAAUCUUCCGCAAUGGGCGAAAGCCUGACGGAGCAACGCCGCGUGAGUGAUGAAGGUCUUCGGAUCGUAAAACUCUGUUAUUAGGGAAGAACAAAUGUGUAAGUAACUAUGCACGUCUUGACGGUACCUAAUCAGAAAGCCACGGCUAACUACGUG
rnacentral:rRNA from 1 species